rnacentral:rRNA from 1 species
CCUACGGGAGGCUGCAGUGAGGAAUAUUGGUCAAUGGGCGGAAGCCUGAACCAGCCAAGUAGCGUGAGGGAUGAAGGCCCUACGGGUCGUAAACUGCUUUUGCACGGGGAUAACAUCCUCCACUUGUGCCGGUCUGCAUGUACCGUACGAAUAAGGGCCGGCUAAUUCCGUGCCAGCAGCCGCGGUAAUACGGAAGACCGGAGCGUUAUCCGGAUUCAUGGGGCUAAAGGGGAGCGUCGGCGGGCGUUAAAGUCAAUUGUAAAAUCACGCGGCCCAACCGAGCACUGCAGUUGAAACUGGCAGCCUUGAGUACACUACAGGCAGGCGGAAUUCGUGGUGUAGCGGUGAAAUGCAUAGAUAUCACGAGGAACCCCGAUUGCGAAGGCAGCCUGCUGGAGUGUAACUGACGCUGAGGCUCGAAGGUGCGGGUAUCAAACAGGAUUAGAUACCCGAGUAGUC